UUGUAAUACGCGCGCUUUUCUCUGCUCGGCAUCUCUUACAAAAAAGCAAGCAAAUCAAUUCUAUAAUAUAUAUUUAAUUCUCAAUUAUAUAUUUUAUAUAUUUUAAAUACACAAGUAAUCACUCUCCAACUACUUCUGUAAUGCAGGUAACUUGCACUUAACCUAAUUAAUAACCUCAAGAUCCAGAAAGAAGUAAACAACAACAAAAAAAAAAACUUUAAAACUGCCAUACAAGAGUUUCUGUUUCCCGGACUCCAGAAACCGAUCACCAAGUCUCGAGCUGCAAUAUUUGACGAGUUGGGUGAGAAAAAUAACUUUCUUUAAAGUGUCUCUGAUGGCUGGCCAGAUCCUGGAGAUUCUGGAGGACCUGUCAAAGGAUGAAUUAACGAAGUUCAAAUUUCAUUUGAAUGACCAGGUACUGAAAGUAUGUAAACCCAUUCCACAAGGUCAACUGGAAGACAAAGGUGUGACAGAUGUUGUCAGUUUGAUGAAGAAAUUCUAUCAUAACAAGAUGGUGAAUGUCACACGGAAGAUCUUAAAGGUGAUUUCAAGAAAUGAUCUCAUUCAGAGAUUGAAGAGCUAUCCUGGAAAAGAUGCUGUUCCAAUCACUGCAUGCAGAAAGCCAAAGGCCAAAAGAACAGAAAGAAAGCAUGCACUCAACCCAAAACAGAAAUUAAAAAACUUAAAGAAAGAAAACAAGAAAACACAAAUUUCAAAUCAACGAAACAAGAAUUUGAAAUGUAAGAUCAAAUCAGAUGCUGUUCCAACCACUGCACGUGGACAGCCAAAGGCCAACCCAAAACAGAAAUUCAACUUAAAAAAAGAAAUUGGGAAAACACAAAUUUUAAAUCAAGGAGACGUCAGUUCGAAAUGUAAUACCAAAUUAGGUAAAAAGUCCGCAAAACAGUUACAACCAAAAAAAGAUAAAAAGACAGACAAAAACUCAAAAAAAGUUGCAAAAGGCGGAGAAGGGCAACGGAAGAAAUAAACAACACAUUGCAUACUACAGAUAAAGAACCAGACCAGUAGAUCAGCAGACUCAUUAGAUACACAAAUUACCCUGGAAUAAAAUUACAAAUUAUUCCUGGUCCAAGCAAUGGUUCUAUCCCGCCUGGACUACUGCAACUCUCUUCUGGCUGG